ensembl:lncRNA
AAUUGAAGUCGAAUUGUGGCACACUUGGCUUGCCAUACCCGGGGUUUCUUUUCGCGCGGGAGUUGUUGUUGUUGUAGUUUUCCGGUCGAGCUGUUCCUGCUUGUCCUUUUGUGGAAUUUAAUAAACCCGCGAUUAAGCUUACUUCGUUCACUGCCUCGCCUGUGGUCAUUACAAUAUUAUAAAAUCGCCACGCACUUCGCGAUUUGAGUACUCCAUCCGGGUCCUGCUUUCAGUACACUUAUUUUCGCCCGAUCUGAAUCGGAACGCCCUACGUACUCAAACUUAGGUCCGGAUAGCAUGGAUAUUGGAACAUGGCAGGCAUGGGUCAGACCAGGGUGAACCAGAAGGGACCGAAGACGCACACUCCCCAGGCAGUCUGGCUCCACGCACCCAGAGUACAGCACUGCCUGGAAGGUUGAUAUAGAGUUAUGUUAUGUAAUUACAGCCUGCGUUCGAAUGUGAUACUAUUAUAAAAAGAGGUUGUUUGUAUAGAUAGAGUUAUGUUAUUACAGCCUGCAAUGGUGAUUGAGAAGCGAAGAGUUCAAAGUGUUUAAUAACAGAACAUUAAUCUAAAAGGAAGGAAGAUGUUAUGGAUGUUGAGUAUUGAGCAUCUAGCGACACCUAGAGUCGUGUUUCCACUGCAGGGUGCGGAAUCAUGUCUGUUAUGUUGCCUAAGCGUGCCCAUAAUGCUUUGCGCGGUGGUUGAUAUUUCUUCAUUCAAUAGAAGCAUCGCCGAAGUAAUAAACAGAAAAACUGCUGUAGAAUUUUGAAUACGAAACAAUCUGCAAGUCGGUUGAUAUGUAUGCUGCUGUUCGACUUAUUGUUGGCCUGUCGGUUAUACUUUCAGGGGUCGUGUUUACAGCUGAUCAGAAUAAACCAAGGGGGGAGAGAAUCACUACUGUCUUCACCAGAGAAGGAGAAAAUGCCACCUUACCGUGUCACCUGGAUCCUUCGAACCUGAAGUCUCCAGCGUUUGACUGGAAGAAAGGCAGCCAGGAGGUAUUCAUGUACCAACAUGGCAUGCCUGAUUAUACAACCGGCAAGGUGGGACAAGACCCCAAGUUCGAGGGAAGGGUGAGGCUGGUCCCAGGGGGGCUGCAGGCUGGAAAGGCCUCAGUGAUCUUGUUUAAUGUGACCGAGGAGGACAUCGGAGUAUACAAGUGUAUCCUCCUGCCCCAGGAACGGACAAGUUGGAUCGAUCUGAAAAUGGUUGUGGAUCCUCAGUUGAUGCUGACUAUCGAAGAGGCUCCACUGUCUGCAGGCUGGGCCAGUCUAUCGUGUGUCUCUACAGGAGGUCACCCCCAGCCCAGGGGUCUGGAGUGGAUGAACCAGGAUGGAGCUGUGAAGAAUUCAACAAACUCAACACACGGUAGAGGCCACUACCCUCUGCAUCUGGACCUGAUUGUGAAAGAGCCAGGGAACUACACCUGUCUUGCCUUGCAGGGAGAUGUUAAACCUGCUAGCCGUGCAAUCCAAUUAUUUGGCAAUUGGCAGGCGUCGGCCGGCCAUUUUGUAUGCGGGAUCCUUGGUUUCAUUUUAUUUUUCGUUGGGGUUUCAAUCUUUUAAUCGGUUUCACAUACAAUUAUUUAAAACCUCAAUCCAG